rnacentral:rRNA from 1 species
AUUGAACGCUGGCGGCAGGCCUAACACAUGCAAGUCGAACGAGUGGCGGACGGGUGAGUAAUGUCUGGGAAACUGCCUGAUGGAGGGGGAUAACUACUGGAAACGGUAGCUAAUACCGCAUACCAUCGGAUGUGCCCAGAUGGGAUUAGCUAGUAGGUGGGGUAAAGGCUCACCUAGGCGACGAUCCCUAGCUGGUCUGAGAGGAGGACCAGCCAAGCUGAAAAUGAGACACGGUCAAGACUCCUAUGGGAGGCAGAAGUGGGGAAUAUUGCACAAUGGGCGAAAGCCUGAUGCAGCCAGGCCGCGUGUAUGAAGAAGGCAUUCGGGUGGUAAAGUAAUUUCAGCGGGGAGGCGUUACCCGAAGAAGAAGCACCGGCUAACUCCGUGCCAGCAGCCGCGGUAAUAC